rnacentral:lncRNA from 1 species
CCGUGGCCGGCAGGAGUGGCGGUGACACCGGACGAGUGGGCUGCGCGCAAGCCUGGUGGUGGAAGACUGACCUGAGGGUCUGCCAUGAGGAGGAGGCAGGCUCCUGCGCAGAUUUUGUUUAUGAAGAAGAAAAAAAGAAAUACAGCACUGAGGGGAACAGUGCUUCCUUCUGCCUGCUUGCCUUGACUGUCGAAGCCCCCUCGCCAACUGCUCUAGCUGCUGGCUCCCCAGGAAUAGUGCCUGCCUCAAGCCAGAGGAAGCCCGUUUACUAUGUCAAUGGCAAGAACCUGCUCAUGUGGGCGUGUGAAAUGUGUCCUUGGAAAAGAAUGCUGCCCAUCCCAGGAAGUCUGAGAAGGCUUGAGUUCUCGCUGUAACUAAGAUCUGAUGAUGCUUUAUGGAUAACUUUACUCCCACAUGAAGCUAGCUGCCAGUUUCCGUAAUCUUCAUGGAGAAUCAAACCAAGAAAAGACUAAUUUGGAAAUAAUAUGCACAGGAGAGACUUCAUUUUUUUCUUUUGAAUAAAAGGAAGGAAGCAGUUUAGGUGACUACAGAGGAGAAAUCAAGAGGACCCUGGGCAAAGUCCUGGGCUUCUCCCACAACGUUAAUGGCAACUGUACAAUGUUUGCCAGGGAGGAAAACUAUAAAAGCUGCUAGCAGUGUUUUUUCUUUUUGGGGGGUGGAGGGACUCGUGAAAGAGGAAUAUAGAGAUUAAAUCUCCUCCUCCUGCACAAGACUCUUGCAGCCCAACAGGUCUAACACUCGAGACCUUAUUGUGAGCCCGAGUUUCCUCUUAGAAAAAGGGGAAAGUCCCAUUCCAGUUGACAGUAGCUCCCCUCCACCUGCUUCUGAUGGCCAUCUCCACUGGGGAGCAGCGUCUUCCUGGUCCCUGCUUAUCUUCAUGUUGGUCCCUUUCCCAGUGAUGGGCGUGCGUAUCUGCGGAAGGAACAUGAGACGUUUGCACCCAAGCCUGCUGCGUCAUUCCUGAGGAGGCCACUACAGAAGGAGGAAGCGGGGUGGCAGGAGUUGAGCUCUGCACCCUGUAAUCCAGAACUGGUUAAUUAAGUGGAGGGAGGUCCCCGCAGAUGCGAUGUGGAAGUGCCCCGUGUAAAGGAGCCAGUGACAACCUGGCUUGCUUGCA